GUGAGGAAUAUUGCGCAAUGGAGGCAACUCUGACGCAGCCAUGCCGCGUGCAGGAAGAAGGCGCUACGCGUUGUAAACUGCUUUUAACCGGGAAGAAACCCCAGGACGUGUCCUGGGUUGACGGUACCGGAGGAAUAAGCACCGGCUAACUUCGUGCCAGCAGCCGCGGUAAUACGAAGGGUGCAAGCGUUAUCCGGAUUCAUUGGGUUUAAAGGGUGCGUAGGCGGAGCGUUAAGUCAGUGGUGAAAUCCUGCAGCUUAACUGUAGACUUGCCAUUGAUACUGGCGCUCUUGAGUGCGCUUGAAGUGGGCGGAAUGUGCCGUGUAGCGGUGAAAUGCUUAGAUAUGGCACAGAACACCAAUUGCGAAGGCAGCUCACUAAGGCGAUACUGACGCUGAGGCACGAAAGAGUGGGGAUCGAACAGGAUUAGAUACCCGGGUAGUCC
rnacentral:rRNA from 1 species